GGCGCCCAGGCCCCCACGAACCUCUCGGGCCCCGCCGGGGCGGGCGGCGGCGGCGGCGGGGGCGGAGGCGGGGGCGGCGGCGGCGGC
ensembl:miRNA